rnacentral:rRNA from 1 species
ACACGGGGGGUGCGAGCGUUGUUCGGAUUCAUUGGGUUUAAAGGGUGCGUAGGCGGAAUAAUAAGUCAGGGGUGAAAGUUUGCGGCUCAACCGUAAAAUUGCCUUUGAUACUGUUAUUCUUGAGUACACGCGAGGUAUGCGGAAUGUGAUGUGUAGCGGUGAAAUGCUUAGAUAUAUCACAGAACACCGAUUGCGAAGGCAGCAUACUAGAGUGUCACUGACGCUGAUGCACGAAAGCGUGGGUAUCGAACAGGAUUAGAUACCCUAGUAGUCC